CCUACGGGGGGCUGCAGCGACGAAUCUUCCGCAAUGGGGGAAACCCUGACGGAGCAAUGCCGCGUGUGGGAUGAAGCGGCUACGCCGUGUAAACCACUGUCAGGUGGUAGGAACAAUGACCGCCACCAGAGGAAGGGCCGGCUAACCCUGUGCCAGCAGCCGCGGUAAGACAGGGGGCCCGAGCGUUAAUCGGAAUCACUGGGCUUAAAGGGUGCGUAGGCGGCCGCGCAAGCGUCCUGUGAAAUCCCACGGCUCAACCGUGGAAUUGCGGGGCGAACUGCGUGGCUUGAGGCAGGCAGGGGCCGACAGAACAGUAGGUGGAGCGGUGAAAUGCGUAGAUAUCUACUGGAAUGCCGAUGGUGAAGACGGUCGGCUGGGCCUGUCCUGACGCUGAGGCACGAAAGCGUGGGGAGCAAACAGGAUUAGAUACCCCAGUAGUC
rnacentral:rRNA from 1 species